GUUCAGUACGUUACGCUGUGGAAACAAAGAGAGUAUACGGUAAAAUCCAAACUUUGGAACUGUAUGUUAUCCUUAUUCCUUAUGUUCCUUAUAUCUGAUAUAAUAAGAUGGUAUAAAAGUUUAUAUGUGUACAUAAAAUGGAUGUUUUACAUGUUCUAGAAAAAUCCUUGUUACUUACCUUUUGCGAGAGUCUUAAGACUCUCCUUAUUGGCUGUACCACGCCCACCGGGUG